GACGAACGCUGGCGGCGUGCCUAAUACAUGCAAGUAGAACGCUGAAGAGAGGAGCUUGCUCUUCUUGGAUGAGUUGCGAACGGGUGAGUAACGCGUAGGUAACCUGCCUUGUAGCGGGGGAUAACUAUUGGAAACGAUAGCUAAUACCGCAUAACAAUGGAUGACACAUGUCAUUUAUUUGAAAGGGGCAAUUGCUCCACUACAAGAUGGACCUGCGUUGUAUUAGCUAGUAGGUGAGGUAAUGGCUCACCUAGGCGACGAUACAUAGCCGACCUGAGAGGGUGAUCGGCCACCCUGGGACUGAGGCACGGCCCAGACUCCUACGGGAGGCAGCAGUAGGGAAUCUUCGGCAAUAGGGGCAACCCUGACCGAGCAACGCCGCGUGAGUGAAGAAGGUUUUCGGAUCGUAAAGCUCUGUUGUAAGUCAAGGACGGGUGUGAGAGUGGAAAGUCCACACUGUGACGGUAGCUUACCAGAAAGGGACGGCUAACUACGUG
rnacentral:rRNA from 1 species